rnacentral:pre_miRNA from 1 species
AUAGUACUCCCUCCGUCCGAAAAAGCUUGUCCCUCAAAUGGAUGUAUCUAGCACCAAGUUAGUGCUAGAUACAUUCAUUUGAGGGAUAAGCUUGGGACAAGCUUUUCCAGACGGAGGGAGUAACUU